rnacentral:rRNA from 1 species
GGGUGCGAUCAUACCAGCACUAAAGCAUUGGAUCCCAUUAGAACUUCGAAGUUAAGCGUGGUUGGGUGAGAGUAUAUCUAGGAUGGGUGACCCCUUGGGAAAUCCUCGUGUUACACUCC